rnacentral:lncRNA from 1 species
AUCCGUGGCUCUGGAGGCUGUGGGUCCAGGAUCCGUGGGUCUGAGCUCCAUGGGUCUGGAGGUUGUGGGUCCAGGAGCUGUGGGUCCAGGAUCUGUGGGUCUGGGCUCCGUAGGUCCGGAGGUUGUGGGUCUGGGCUCCAUAGCUCUGGAAGUUGUGCGUCUAGGAUCCGUGGGUCUCGAGGUUGUGGGUCUGGGUUCUGUGGGUCUCAAGGUUGUGGGUCUGGGAUCUGUGGGUCUGGAGGUCGUGGGUCCGGGAUCUGUGGGUCUGUGCUCCAUGACUCUGGAGCUUGUGGGUCCAGGCUCCGUGGCUCUCGAGGUUGUGGGUCCGGGCUCUGCCCCCCAGCGCCCCCCAUUCCGUCCCCGCCAUGGCCGCGCUCACGUCCCGUGCCUCGGCCGCCAUCUGUGCCAUGGCAGCGGCGGCUCCGCGCU